CGGUCAUGAAGAUCCUGGCGACGCUCGAGGACAUCUACCUCGUUCCGGCCAGAAGCAGAUCCGCGGCCUGAUGAUAGCGCUGACAUGAUCGUCAGCCAUGCCGGUGCCGCACGGGAAUCUUCUCGGAAGGCUCGGCAACGAAAUUUCAGCACCUGAACCUUAAACGGCACGACCGGCAAAUCU
rnacentral:sRNA from 1 species